rnacentral:lncRNA from 1 species
AUGGUACCCAGACGUGCUCAAACGUGCUUUGUCUUUCCAAACAUCCACUGGGAACCCCAAAAGGGCCCAACUUUAAUGAGUUCCAUUAUAGAGGUUUCUAGGAACCACACUAAACCCAAGAAAAGACAGUGGAUGAAAUUAUCCAUUACUUUUCCUGUUAAGGCAAAAAAAAAAAAAAAAAGGAGGGGCUUUUCAGUGAGAAGUUUACUUUCUGGUGGCUCCUUUGAAGCCUUGCUUCCUUCUAGAGCCUCACUGUCUGACGAGGGAGUAGCCAACCCCACUUGGCUGCUAAAACUUGAAAUGUGGCCAGUCCAAAUGGAGCCGUUGUGCAGUGCCCAACACGUGCCAGAAUCCAAAGACUUUACAUGGAAAAAGGAAUAUAACAUAUCUCAUUCAUAACUUCUUAUACUGAUUACAUGUUCCAACAAUAACAUUUUAGGGUCCAACAAUAACAUUUUAGGGGGCUUCCCUGGUGGUCUAGUGGUUAAGAAUCCAUCUACCAAUGCAGGGGACACGUGUUUGAUUCCUGGUCCGGGAAGAUUCCACAUGCUAUGGAAGCAACUAAUCCUGAAGGCCACAAACACAGAGCCCACAAGCUGCAACAAGAGAAGCCACCGUAAUGAGUAGCUCCUGCUCCCCAUAACUAGAGAGUCUGUGCAUAGCAACAAAAUCCUAGUGCAGUCAAAAUAAACAUAUAAAAUAAAUCUUUCUAAUAAAUAAAUAAAUAAAAUAACAUUUUGGAUAGAUUGGGUUAAAAUAUACAUUAUUCAUAUUAAGUUCAUCAUUUUAUUGUUUUAAAUUGCAGUAAAAUUCAUGCAUCAUAAAAUCAACCAUUUUAAUAAAUUAAACAAUUCACUGGCUUUUAGUACAGUCACCGUAUUAUGCAACCAUCACCACUACCUAGUUCUGGAACAUUUCUAUCACCCCAAGUACCCUGAUGAAUAGAUGAAACCUCCUUUAUGUUGGAUUCAGGAUGGCAAGAAGGGGGAGCUCUCACACCCUCUCACACGUUGCUAUCUGCAGACUCCAAACAGGAAGAGAUGUACCUUGCAUCUCCAACAGAAAGAAAGUUGUUACCUUACUACGCCAGGAGGAAGAAGAAGGAAGAUUUUCUCCUUGCCCGGCAACUGCCCAGCCAAUGAGAAGCUGCAACAACUCAGCCAAUGAAAAGCCACUACACUUAGAACUCCCAGCUUCCUCCAAUGAGCUCUUUGUUUAUAACAGCCCAGCUCAACUCUCCUUUCUCGCCUAUAGAUAAAGAAUGGUCCUGUCUUUGUGUCUCUGGACUUGGUUAUAGUUUUGGUUAUAGGUUACAAGCUGUAACAUGCUUGUCCUGAAUUGCAAUUCUUUGCUAUUCCUCGAUAAACCCAUUUGCUGGUUAAAAACAAAACCCAGAAACUGGCUGUUUUAGUUAACAACCAAUUAGCAGUCACUCCCCUCUCUCCCCAGCCCUUGGCCACCACUGACUUGGCCAUUAGUCUCUAUGGAGUUCCCUAGUCUAGACACAGCAGGGACUUCAGUGGCUACUUUAUGCCAGUGGACGCUUGGCUUCCAGGACCUCAUAGAGUGGUACCAGUUGGGGCCUGGCCCAACCCCCACCCCACCCCAACCCGGGCAGCUCAGCCCUGGCGCAAAGUGGAUGCUCAGUAAACCUACAUGCUGGGAGAAGGAAGGAACAGGGAUCCCAGAAAGAGAAGCAACUCUGGGAUCCCCAUUCUGCCCUGCCGUCUGAAUGGCCUGGGCAGCAACUCAGUCGAUAAACAGAGAUGUGUGUGUGUGUGGUAUAAUAAAAUAUAUGUAUGUAUAUCUAUUUUUAUAGAUACCAAAUAUAUCUAUUUGGUCUUUGCCCCAUUCCUGGCACAGAGCCCCUAAAAUCCUUGGAAUUUCCUGAGUGAUAAUAGUGUCUUUUGUUUGUUAAUGGGAACUCCAGGGACUGGGGCUAAAAAGCUUCAGGAGGGGAGCUGGUAGCCAGAAAAAACAGCCAAGUGCCUAGAGAAUGGGAAUUUUCAGUCCCAUCUACUGGGGAAAAAGCUGAAGAUUGAGUUCAGUCACCAGCAACUGACGAUUUAAUCACUUGUGCCUGUGUACUCAAACCUCAAUUUUAAAAAUACCCUAAAUAAUGGGGUUCUGGGGGCUUCUGGGCUGGCAAACACAUCCAUGUGCCGGGAGGGUGGCACACCCCCAGCUCCAAGGGGUUAGAGGUCCCUGUUCUCAGGACCCUUCAGACCCUGUGUCUCACAUCAUCUUCAUCUGCCGGUUCACCUGUCUCCUUAUGAUAAACGGUAAUAGGUAAUAGUAAGGACAGCUCUUUCCUGCAUUCUGCGAGCCCUUCUAGCAAGUGAUCAAACUGAAUGGGGGGCAUUGUGAGACCCCUCAAAUCUCUAGGAGGUGGGACAGAAGUGCAGGUAACCUGGGGACCCCAUUUAUGGCUGGGGUCUGAAGCGGGGACUGUCUUGUGGGCCUGAGCCCUUAACCUGUGGGGGUCUAAUUCUAGUUGUGGAGUCUAAUUAGUGGCACUAGUUAGUGUCAGAACUGAAUUGCUGGGACUUCCUGGUGGUAAAGGAUCCUCCUGCCAACACAGGGGACGGAGGUUGGAUCCCUGGUCCAGGAAGAUCUCAAUAGGCUGCUGGAGCAACUAAGCCUGUACGCCACAACUACUGAGCCUGCACCCUGCAAGUACUGAAGCCCACGCACCUAGAGCCCAUGCUCCACAACCAGAGAAGCCAGCACAAAGAGAAGCCUGUGCCCUGCAACUAGAGGGUGGCCCCGAUCACUGAAACUAGAGAAAGCCUGCGUGCCCCAACGAAGACACUGUGCAGGCAAAUAAAUAAAUAUGAAAAAAAAAAAAAGAAUUGAAUUGCAGGACAUUCAGUUGAAAUGGGAGAACCAGUGUGUUUGAGGGGUUCCUCUGGGCUUUGUUGCAUGGAUGGGCUCACAGCAAGAUAACUUUGUUGCUGGUAGUAAACAUGGGUAAUGCCUGUGCUUCCCGAGAGAUGGGGUAUUUCUGGGGAGGCCCCAAGGCUCUUGUGAGGAUGGGUGAGAGGAUGUGGGCUGAGAGCCGGCCACCACCCUGGGCUCAGAGGAAGGAGUUCUAAGGUGUUAGCAGGUGAAAGCCAAUGCUCCAAGGGCUCUGCUCACCACAUGAAUGACAGGGCUUUGCUCUGUGGGUGCGAGGCUGCCAACACAGCCUCCAUCAGGCACCAGGCCAGUCACAGAAACAGGAGAGGUGAGCAGACUGUACCUAUAAACAUGGGGCAUUCUUAGCUUUUUACUCUCCUAUUUUUGAAGGUGAUUUAGGCAGAGGGACAGGUCUCAUCUAUAAGAAAAUCAAAACAAGGUGAAAAGACAACCCUCGGAAUGGGAGAAAAUAACAGCAAAUGAAGCAACUGACAAAGGAUUAAUUUCCAAAACACACAAGCAGCUCAUACAAGUCAAUACCAGAAAAACAAACAACCCAAUCAAAAAGUGGGGGAAAGACCUAAACAGACAUUUCUCCAAAGAAGACAUACAGAUGGCUAACAAACACAUGAAAAGAUGCUCAACAUCGCUCAUUAUUAGAAAAAUGCGAAUCAAAACCACAAUGAAAUAUCCCCUUACACCAGUCAGAAUGGCCGUCAUCAAAAAGUCUACAAACAGUAAAUGUUGGAGAGGGUGUGGAGAAAACGGAACCCUCUUGCACUGUUGGUGGGAAUGUAAAUUGAUACAGCCACUAUGGAAGAUGGUAUGGAGAUUCCUUAAAAAUCUAAGAAUAAAACCACCAUACGACCCAACAACUCCACUCCUAGGCACAUAAGAGGAAACCAAAAUUGAAAAAGAUACAUGUACCCCAGUGUUCAUUGCAGCACUAUUUACACUAACUAGAACAUGGAAGCAGCCUAGAUGUCCAUCAACAGAUGAAUGGAUAAAGAAGAUGUGCCACAUAUAUGAAUGUGAAAGUGAAAGUUACUCAGUUGUGUCCAACUCUCUAGCUGGUAAAGAAUCUGCCUACAAUGUGGGAGACCUGGGUUUGAUCCCUGGGUUGAGAAGAUCCCCUGGAGAAAGGAACGGCUAUCUGUUCCUGUAUUCUGGCCUGGAGAAUUCCA